CACUUGGUGGCCUAUUGGUUAGAGCGUCCGCCUCGGAUGCGGGAGGUCGUGGGUUCGAUCCCCGGUCGAGUCA